GUGUCAGCCGCCGCGGUAAAACGUAGGUGGCGAGCGUUAUCCGGAUUUACUGGGCGUAAAGCGUGUGCAGGCGGACGGGCAAGUGGUGUAUGAAAGCUCCAGGCUUAACCUGGAGAGGUUAUGCCAGACUGCACGUCUUGAGGCAGAGAGAGGGACAUGGAAUUCCGGGUGUAGUGGUGAAAUGCGUAGAGAUCCGGAGGAACUCCAGAGGCGAAGGCGGUGUCCUGGCUCUGACCUGACGCUCAGACACGAAAGCAUGGGGAGCGAACGGGAUUAGAAACCCGAGUAGUCC
rnacentral:rRNA from 1 species